GGAAUACCCGCUGAACUUAA
rnacentral:rRNA from 3 species